rnacentral:rRNA from 1 species
GUGGGGAAUAUUGCACAAUGGGCGCAAGCCUGAUGCAGCCAUGCCGCGUGUAUGAAGAAGGCCUUCGGGUUGUAAAGUACUUUCAGCGGGGAGGAAGGUGUUGAGGUUAAUAACCUCAGCAAUUGACGUUACCCGCAGAAGAAGCACCGGCUAACUCCGUGCCAGCAGCCGCGGUAAUACGGAGGGUGCAAGCGCUAAUCGGAAUUACUGGGCGUAAAGCGCACGCAGGCGGGCUGUCAAGUCGGAUGUGAAAUCCCCGGGCUCAACCUGGGAACUGCAUUCGAAACUGGCAGGCUAGAGUCUUGUAGAGGGGGGUAGAAUUCCAGGUGUAGCGGUGAAAUGCGUAGAGAUCUGGAGGAAUACCGGUGGCGAAGGCGGCCCCCUGGACAAAGACUGACGCUCAGGUGCGAAAGCGUGGGGAGCAAACAGGAUUAGAUACCCGGGUAGUCC